UGGGGAAUAUUGCACAAUGGAGGGAACUCUGAUGCAGCGACGCCGCGUGAGUGAAGAAGUAAUUCGUUAUGUAAAGCUCUAUCAGCAGGGAAGAAAGUGACGGUACCUGAAAAAGAAGCUCCGGCUAAAUACGUGCCAGCAGCCGCGGUAAUACGUAUGGAGCAAGCGUUAUCCGGAUUUACUGGGUGUAAAGGGAGAGUAGGUGGCAGAGCAAGUCCGAAGUGAAAACCCAAAGCUCAACUAUGGGAAUGCUUUAGAAACUGCUCAGCUAGAGUGCAGGAGAGGCAAGUGGAAUUCUUAGUG
rnacentral:rRNA from 1 species